UGUCGUGGUGGAAGAGUUGGUAGCCCUGCACAUGUCCAUCCGAGAAUUACGUCACAGGUGGGCACAAGCCGCAGUCAUUCGCCGGCGCCUCCCUGCAGUCUCAGGUAGCAGCGGCGAUGCGUAGUGCUGUUGCUUUGUACUGAGUGAGCGUGAAUGAACCCUCGUGACGAUAUAUGGUGAUGGACGUGUGGGCCUUUACGUUGUGGAAAUAGAAGAUUGGGCAGACACGCAGGCAUAACUUGGUGCUGAUUGGACGAUAACGAUAACGGCAUUACUAACGGAAGAAUAUAGAGAGGGAAAAUUUGAAGAGAAGAUUAAACGGAAGGACGGGAAAAGCAGGAAGGUCCGAAAAACAAGUAUAAAGUGCAGAGAGCAGAGAAGAGAACAGCAACAAAGAGGCCCUCGUCAUCUCUCACAGCCGUUCCCUGCUGGAAAAAACAAUGAAUGGGAGAGAGAAAAAAAAAAUAGAUGGUUUUUGAAAUAAGUGGAGAUGGGUAAGGUACACGAGGUUGCUUUCGUUUUCCUCUCUCUGUUUCGUCUCAUCAGUGGCGCAGAUUCAUCAACGCCAAGCCAGAUAAACAUCACACCAGCUUUGCAAACCCAUCUGUUUUACAUCCUGCCGCCAGCUCCCCUCCGUGUUAAAACAUUGGAUUCGAGUCGAGGGCCCCAUUUCUGUACAUUUCUGGCAACAGGCUGGAUCAGCAGAGGAGCCGACACCGCACAGCUCGGCGCUCUUCCCCUGUGCCUGAGCAACACUGCGCUGACACGUCUGUCCGAUGCAGGGAGGAGACAGCAAGCGAGAGGCGAGGCUUGGCGGAGUUUUGACAUGCUAAGCAGUUAGUGUUCUUAAUAAGGAUCCAUGUCGGGGCAUCAUGAGAGAAAACAGCUUGUAUGCUGUCAUACGGACGCGGCGCUCACAACUUGGAAUCUCAAACAAGCCUCUCCCACACCCACCUCUAAUAUCUUCCACCACUGUGACAGAGAGAGAGAGAGAGAGAGAGAGAGAGAGAGAGAGAGAGAGAGAGAGAGAGAGAUUAGAUUAGAUUAGAUUAAAUUGUUUAUUAUCCACCAAAGUGGUUGUUACACAUUUUACAAGUAGUCAAGUAUACAAAUAUGAUUUAAUACCAGUGAUAUUUAACAAUGUAAAUACAAUAAAGUUGAGGAUCACUCGUCUAUAAUAGAUGCACCACAAAAAUGCUAAGUUAACGUACAUACACUGGUACACUUACAAUGAAAACAUCAAGGUGAAACAAACCUAACUAAAUAUAUUUUUGGUUAUUUUAUUUAUUUAUUUUAUUUUAUUUUUUUCAAGUCCAGCCUUAAAAGAGUUUAUAGAUGUGUCCUGUGUGAGGGAGAGCGAGAGAGAGUUCCACACUGUGGUUCCCAAUAUGACAGUGCGCCUAUCAGCAGAGAGUGUGUAGGUGGCCGGUACAAGCAACCUGUGCCUGUGUCUUGUGACGCUACUGGUGAUGGCUUGCCUGUUACAUAGUGAUAAAAACUAUUUUGGAUGAAACCCUCGUAAAAUCUUAAAUAUUGUUGUAGCCACUUGUAAAACAUGUUUGUGCUUUAUUCGUAGCCAUUGGAGUUCUUUAUAAAAUGGAGACACGUGAUCAUAUUUCUUAACUCCACCUAUGGCAACCCUUACUGCAGCAUUCUGUAACUUUUGCACACCAGACAUUAAUGCAUCAUUUGUAGUCCCCAUAUUCUAAUACAACAGUUAAUUAAGGUUAAUACAAGGGCCUGUGUCACCAUGAUCCUGCUGUCCUUAUCUGUGUUUUCACUAAUUCAACUUACAUACAUUAAAAUACCCACCACUUUCCUUUUCAGCUCAUUAAUAUGGACGUCAAAAAGCAAGUAACUAUCCAAGCAAACUCACAAGUUUUUCACGUGCUUACUUGGAUGUAUUACAUUUCCAUUAACAUUCACAGUCGUGUUUGGGGGAGUGUGAGAUAAAAGCUGGCGAUUACCUAUAAAAACACACUGAGUCUUGCAAGAAUUAAACAUGAGACCAUUGUUUAGUUACAACAUCGGGAUCACCAUUUUUAUACAGGGGGACAACCAGUGCAUGUUUCCAUGACUCGGGGAACACGCCAGUCACCAAGGACAUGUUGAUGAUACAGCUGAGGAGAGGACAGUGACACAGAGCGCAUCCCGGACAAACUUUAAUGCUAUUCCGUCCGACCCGAUGGAGUUGGUUACAUCGAGGUCUUUAACGGUUAAGAUAAGGGUGUCAGCGUCCACGGGCUCAGGUCUACAAGCAGAGUUCACUUUAAUGGUAUUUACUUGAGGAUGAUGAACAGUUACUACUACCCCUUCACUUCUUAGUUCUUCCUGAGAACGUCUGAAAGUAGUCUCCCCAACAUUUGAAAAGAAUUUAUUGAAGUCAGUUUUUCAUUUACGUUACCAAAAUUGUGAGUAUCAUGUUUUUUUUUUUUUCUGAUUAGGAAUAAUUUCCUCAGUAACUUUCCAUGUUGCAGAGAUAUUUCCUUUACAAUCUUUUAGACGACCUUGAUAAUGCUCUGCCUUAGAGGUAUUAAUGAGUGCUUUGAUAUGCUUUAGCAGCUUUAUAACGUUCCCUCAAUCCAACGUUAUUUGUACCGACUUUUAACUCUCUUUGCAACCUAUUACGUUCCUCCUUUGCCUCACGAACAUCGCCACUCAUCCAUGGUGCUGGUGUGCCUUUCACAGCUUUAGUCACAACAGGGGCACACACAUCAAGAGGAAAACUAAAAACCUCAUUAAAAAUAUACACUUGUUUGUUAAGGUCGUCAGUUAAAAACACAUUAUUGAUACAAUACACAUUGUAUAAAAGCAGCAAACAGAAAGUGUCUUUAUCACAGUGCUUCAGAUCAGGGAGGCUUUUUAUCACCGGUAUUUUGCGAGGUUUUCUUACAUUUAUAGCGACGGACACGAGAUCAUGAUCUGCAAUUAACUGAGGGACCACGUCAAGGGAUAAAACUACCUCAGGUUUAUUAGUGAUAAUAAGAUCCAGUAGAGUAGCUCAAUGUCAGGUUUUUCUUGUGGGUUUAUCAAUAAAACUGAAUCAACUUA